rnacentral:rRNA from 1 species
GAUGAACGCUGGCGGCGUGCCUAAUACAUGCAAGUCGAGCGAACAGACGAGGAGCUUGCUCCUCUGACGUUAGCGGCGGACGGGGGAGUAACACGUGGAUAACCUACCUAUAAGACUGGGAUAACUUCGGGAAACCGGAGCUAAUACCGGAUAAUAUAUUGAACCGCAUGGUUCAAUAGUGAAAGACGGUUUUGCUGUCACUUAUAGAUGGAUCCGCGCCGCAUUAGCUAGUUGGUAAGGUGACGGCUUACCAAGGCAACGAUGCGUAGCCGACCUGAGAGGGUGAUCGGCCACACUGGAACUGAGACACGGUCCAGACUCCUACGGGAGGCAGCAGUAGGGAAUCUUCCGCAAUGGGCGAAAGCCUGACGGAGCAACGCCGCGUGAGUGAUGAAGGUCUUCGGAUCGUAAAACUCUGUUAUUAGGGAAGAACAAAUGUGUAAGUAACUAUGCACGUCUUGACGGUACCUAAUCAGAAAGCCACGGCUAACUACGUG